rnacentral:rRNA from 1 species
AAUGGGCGCAAGCCUGAUCCAGCCAUGCCGCGUGAGUGAUGAAGGCCCUAGGGUCGUAAAGCUCUUUCGCCAGGGAUGAUAAUGACAGUACCUGGUAAAGAAACCCCGGCUAACUCCGUGCCAGCAGCCGCGGUAAUACGGAGGGGGUUAGCGUUGUUCGGAAUUACUGGGCGUAAAGCGUGCGUAGGCGGAUUAGUCAGUUAGAGGUGAAAUCCCGGGGCUCAACCCCGGAACUGCCUUUAAUACUGCUAGUCUUGAGUUCGAGAGAGGUGAGUGGAAUUCCGAGUGUAGAGGUGAAAUUCGUAGAUAUUCGGAGGAACACCAGUGGCGAAGGCGGCUCACUGGCUCGAUACUGACGCUGAGGUGCGAAAGUGUGGGGAGCAAACAGGAUU